rnacentral:rRNA from 1 species
AACGAACGCUGGCGGCAGGCUUAACACAUGCAAGUCGAGCGCCCCGCAAGGGGAGCGGCAGACGGGUGAGUAACGCGUGGGAAUCUACCCAUCUCUACGGAAUAACGCAUGGAAACGUGUGCUAAUACCGUAUACGUCCGUCGGGCGGAAGAUUUAUCGGAGAUGGAUGAGCCCGCGUUGGAUUAGCUAGUUGGUGGGGUAAAGGCCUACCAAGGCGACGAUCCAUAGCUGGUCUGAGAGGAUGAUCAGCCACACUGGGACUGAGACACGGCCCAGACUCCUACGGGAGGCAGCAGUGGGGAAUAUUGGACAAUGGGCGCAAGCCUGAUCCAGCCAUGCCGCGUGAGUGAUGAAGGCCCUAGGGUUGUAAAGCUCUUUCACCGGUGAAGAUAAUGACGGUAACCGGAGAAGAAGCCCCGGCUAACUUCGUGCCAGCAGCCGCGGUAACAC